rnacentral:rRNA from 1 species
AUACGGAGGGGGCAAGCGUUGUUCGGAAUUACUGGGCGUAAAGGGCGCGUAGGCGGAUUAUCAAGUCAGAGGUGAAAGCCCUGGGCUCAACCUGGGAACUGCCUAUGAAACUGAUAGUCUUGAGGCCGGAAGAGGAUGGCGGAAUUCCCAGUGUAGAGGUGAAAUGCGUAGAUAUUGGGAAGAACACCAGUGGCGAAGGCGGCCAUCUGGUCCGGUUCUGACGCUGAGGCGCGAAAGCGUGGGGAGCAAACAGGAUUAGAAACCCCAGUAGUCC